CGACGCAUCACGACCACGGCAUUCGACUUGACGACUGCCAUCAAUAUCACCACAACGUUGACAGCGACCGACGUGGUGAAGUGCGCGAAGAUGGCUGCCUUGGCAGACAUGACUGCGUUCUCAUUCAAUGGAACAUGCACAGCUUAUAAGUUGAACUGGAAACUUUGUUCGUGUUUGCCCGGGGAGGAAUUGCUGCCUGGGAAGGUGGUUCUUUACAUCACCGACACCAGCCUCUCCUACCGCAUGACCUCCUCGGCUGCGACGCGCACGCUGGCGUCGCUGGCGUCGGGGCAGCGCACCACAGUGGGUU